UUAUUUCAGAAAAGAAGUUAAAAAAUAGAGAAAAAUAAAGAUUGUUUGCAACUGGGAUUUUUUUUUUUUUGGCUUUCCUCCGCGCUUGCCGGAGCGGAGCAGACGAUAUACUCCUGUUGCGCAAUGGCGGUGUAGUGAUUGUUGAUUUGUUGUCUGAGGACUUGGAUAUGAACCAUCUUCGGAAAGCAAAGCAAAGCCGUGAAGUCGUCUUUGUGCGUCCAGUCGGUCCACUGCAAUGAUCUAGUCAACUGCCGCCAGACGGUUUCGACUCGCGACUCGCCAAAUGUUGUCGGCGUCCAUCUUAACCUCCCGGCUCAGCGUGUCAGCGCCGUCCUCACGUAUUUAAUUAACACGUUAUUCCUUUCCUCUCAUUUAUCGUGAUUGCUGGAAAGGAGUGGCGGCAAGGUGAUUUGGUGAGGAUGCAGGAGUGCAGAGGGGGAUUCAUCAAUCCAUCCAGCUGCUAAGGACCAUCCUGGACGCAGUGAAGCAGAUCUCCUCUCCUGCCAUUCUUCAGAACUACAACUGCAUGAGUUGUGGCUGGAGAGGAGUGGCGGCAAGGUGAUGUGGUGAGGAUCCAGAGCCGAAUCCGUCAGUCCGUCUAGCUGAUAAGGUGCUGAGCCAUCCUGGACGCAAUGAAGCAGAUCUUCUGCUGUUCGUUGGAACCACAUCUCCAUGAUCCCAGUGGAUGCAGGACAACCAACAGACUCAGCCAAGUCCCUCUUCCAACCUCACCAAAUUAGAGGACCAGCUCUGCUUUUUAUUGGCCAUGCUACCACCUAUCUCACCACUGAAGAGAGAAGCAGAGGAAAAUAAUCAAGAAAUAUAAUACUUCAGAGUUUGUGCUGCCUGAAGCUAUUGUCAAAUUAUUUUUAAGUUAGUGAUUUGUAAUUUAUUGUUUGCUCUGCUUUUGCACUCAACCUUUGCUUUGUAUUGGUAAUGGCCAAAUUUGUUUUCACCGACCUUAAAGGACUCUAUUCUAAAAUAACUUCAUUCUAUUUGCAUUUUGGAACUGAGUUUAAAUUCUAUAUUUUCUUGUACAAGCAGAACAGAUUGCAUAUUGCGGAGGGUGGCAUGAAUGAUCUUCAGCCGUUAUGCAGCACUGGUAGUCCAUUUGUUUGAGCUGUGAAUUAUUUUUGGAGAAGAAGACAUGUUAUUAGCUUUGCUUUGUAGGUGCUUGGUUUUGUUUUAAAUCAUACAACUUUUACUAGAUUGCUGAAUA